rnacentral:rRNA from 1 species
AACGAACGCUGGCGGCAUGCCUAACACAUGCAAGUCGAACGAGAUCUUCGGGUCUAGUGGCGCACGGGUGCGUAACGCGUGGGAAUCUGCCCUUUGGUUCGGAAUAACAGUUGGAAACGACUGCUAAUACCGGAUGAUGACGAAAGUCCAAAGAUUUAUCGCCAGAGGAUGAGCCCGCGUAGGAUUAGCUAGUUGGUGUGGUAAAGGCGCACCAAGGCGACGAUCCUUAGCUGGUCUGAGAGGAUGAUCAGCCAAAGUGGGACUGAGACACGGCCCAUACUCCUACGGGAGGCAGCAUUGGGGAAUAGUGGACAACGGGCGAAAGCCUGAUCCAGAAAUGCCGCGUGAGUGAUGAAGGCCUUAGGGUUGUAAAGCUCUUUUACCCGGGAUGAUAAUGACAGUACCGGGAGAAUAAGCUCCGGCUAACUCCGUGCCAGCCGCCGCCGUAA